ACGGGAGGCAGCAGUGGGGGAUAUUGCGCAAUGGGGGCAACCCUGACGCAGCAACGCCGCGUGAAGGAAGAAGGUCUUCGGAUUGUAAACUUUUGUCUUAUGGGACGAAUUGAUGACGGUACCAUAGGAGGAAGCUCCGGCUAACUACGUGCCAGCAGCCGCGGUAAUACGUAGGGAGCGAGCGUUGUCCGGAAUUACUGGGUGUAAAGGGCGUGUAGGCGGGUCUGCAAGUCAGAUGUGAAAUUCCCGGGCUUAACUCGGGCGCUGCAUUUGAAACUGUAGAUCUUGAGUGGUGGAGAGGAAAGCGGAAUUCCUAGUGUAGCGGUGAAAUGCGUAGAUAUUAGGAGGAACACCAGUGGCGAAGGCGGCUUUCUGGACACUAACUGACGCUGAGGCGCGAAAGCGUGGGGAGCAAACAGGAUUAGAUACCCUGGUA
rnacentral:rRNA from 1 species